rnacentral:rRNA from 1 species
GACAGAGGGUGCAAACGUUGUCCGGAAUUAUUGGGCGUAAAGCGCGUGUAGGCGGCUUGGCAAGUCGGGUGUGAAAGCCCUCAGCUCAACUGAGGAAGUGCGCCCGAAACUGCUGAGCUCGAGUGCCGGAGAGGAUGGCGGAAUUCCCCAAGUAGAGGUGAAAUUCGUAGAUAUGGGGAGGAACACCGGUGGCGAAGGCGGCCAUCUGGACGGUGACUGACGCUGAGACGCGAAAGCGUGGGGAGCAAACAGG